rnacentral:rRNA from 1 species
GAUGAACGCUGGCGGCGUGCUUAACACAUGCAAGUCGAACGGAAAGGCUCCUGCUUGCAGGGGUACUCGAGUGGCGAACGGGUGAGUAACACGUGGGUGAUCUGCCCUGCACUUCGGGAUAAGCCUGGGAAACUGGGUCUAAUACCGGAUAGGACCACAUUUUGGAUGGUGUGGUGGAAAGUUUUUCGGUGUGGGGUGAGCUCGCGGCCUAUCAGCUUGUUGGUGGGGUAAUGGCCUACCAAGGCGUCGACGGGUAGCCGGCCUGAGAGGGUGUACGGCCACAUUGGGACUGAGAGACGGCCCAGACUCCUACGGGAGGCAGCAGGGGGGAAUAUUGCACAAUGGGCGCAAGCCUGAUGCAGCGACGCCGCGUGGGGGAUGACGGCCUUCGGGUUGUAAACUCCUUUCGCUAGGGACGAAGCGUUUUUGUGACGGUACCUGGAGAAGAAGCACCGGCUAACUACGUG